GGGAAGGUGGCUUAAUGGUAGAGCAUUUGUCUAACAUGUAUGAAGCCUGGGUUCAAAUCCUCCGUACCA
rnacentral:tRNA from 1 species